rnacentral:rRNA from 1 species
UUUAUGGUAUGACCAAGACCGAGUUGGGCAGGAGCAAGCGGUUGGAUUGGCCUAACUCUUCAAGACCAAAGAUACUCGGCUUCCUCUUCAUCAAGUCACGAAAUUCGACCCUUAGUUAGCAGCACCAAAACUAGAGCAAGCCCAAGACAAGCAAGAACAACCAGCCAGCACCGAUCAGGUAGGAAGCAGACAAUAAGCUAA